rnacentral:rRNA from 1 species
UACAGAGGUCCCAAGCGUUGUUCGGAUUCAUUGGGCGUAAAGGGUGUGUAGGUGGCGCUGUAAGUGGGGUGUGAAAUCUCGGGGCUUAACUCCGAAACUGCAUUCCAUACUGCGGUGCUUGAGGACUGGAGAGGAGACUGGAAUUCAUGGUGUAGCAGUGAAAUGCGUAGAGAUCAUGAGGAAGACCAGUGGCGAAGGCGGGUCUCUGGACAGUUCCUGACACUGAGACACGAAGGCCAGGGGAGCAAACGGG